UCUCAACGCACAUCCUAACUUAAUGGCCAUGACAGUGGUAAUCGUGGCCUUUAGGCUGAAGGAUUAUCUUCCUCCUCUGGGACUGUGAAUACUGGAGGAAAUUGGGAUACAAAUCCUACAGCUACAUGUGGACCGUCAGGAAUUGGCCGUCAUGACUCAGACAGAGGAAAUAGGAAACACCUAUCUCUGAGACGUCAUUUAAGCGAAAUGAUGAAGACCAGGCAGCCACAUCAUGGUCCUGUAGGAUUCCAGAUAAACAGUGAUUUGACAAGGCAAAGACGUGGAAAAAUAGAAGGUAAGAUCACAAUGAUGAGUUUUUGUUUGUUUGUUUGUUUUUAAAGAUUUUAUUUAUUUAUUUGACAGGCAGAGAUUACAAGUAGGCUGAGAGGCAGGCAGAGAGAGAGGAGGAAGCAGGCUCCCCACUGAGCAGAGAGCCCGAUGCGGGGCUCGAUCCCAGGACCCUG